ACGAACGCUGGCGGCGUGCCUAAUACAUGCAAGUCGAACGCUGAAGGAGGAGCUUGCUCUUCUGGAUGAGUUGCGAACGGGUGAGUAACGCGUAGGUAACCUGCCUGGUAGCGGGGGAUAACUAUUGGAAACGAUAGCUAAUACCGCAUAAGAGUAGAUGUUGCAUGACAUUUACUUAAAAGGUGCAAUUGCAUCACUACCAGAUGGACCUGCGUUGUAUUAGCUAGUUGGUGGGGUAACGGCUUACCAAGGCGACGAUACAUAGCCGACCUGAGAGGGUGAUCGGCCACACUGGGACUGAGACACGGCCCAGACUCCUACGGGAGGCAGCAGUAGGGAAUCUUCGGCAAUGGACGGAAGUCUGACCGAGCAACGCCGCGUGAGUGAAGAAGGUUUUCGGAUCGUAAAGCUCUGUUGUAAGAGAAGAACGAGUGUGAGAGUGGAAAGUUCACACUGUGACGGUAUCUUACCAGAAAGGGACGGCUAACUACGUG
rnacentral:rRNA from 1 species